rnacentral:rRNA from 1 species
CCUACGGGAGGCAGCAGUGGGGAAUAUUGGGCAAUGGGCGCAAGCCUGACCCAGCAACGCCGCGUGAAGGAAGAAGGCUUUCGGGUUGUAAAAUUCUUUUCUCAGGGACGAAGAAAGUGACGGUACCUGAGGAAUAAGCCACGGCUAACUACGUGCCAGCAGCCGCGGUAAUACGUAGGUGGCAAGCGUUAUCCGGAUUUAUUGGGUGUAAAGGGCGUGUAGGCGGGAGCGCAAGUCAGAUGUGAAAACUCAGGGCUCAACCCUGAGCCUGCAUUUGAAACUGUGUUUCUUGAGUGCUGGGGAGGCAAUCGGAAUUCCGGGUGUAGCGGUGAAAUGCGUAGAUAUACGGAGGAACACCAGUGGCGAAGGCGGAUUGCUGGACAGUAACUGACGCUGAGGCGCGAAAGCGUGGGGAGCAAACAGGAUUAGAUACCCCUGUAGUC